AUGCUGCGGAUCUGUCCAGCGGUGGUAGAAGAGGUUGUGGAUCAGGGCCGGAAAUCUCGGCACCCCAUCGUUCCUGCCCAUCCAUUCUUACGCAUCCCACUGACAGCUGCCAUGAUGUGCAUGUGUGUGUGGAAGAGGUUGUGUUCUCUCUCCCCAUGGAUGUCAGAACCUCCCCCCCCCCAUUAUUAUUUUAUAUUUCACUCGGGUCUAAAUAAGAGCUGCUUCUGUUUUCAUUUUGCUUUAUGCUGUUUUUUUCUUAUGCAACUAAGGAAUGCCGGCACAUUGUUUAUUUUAUUCCACAAGGGCCUUUUAAGCCCAGCCAUGGCAGCCACUGAGUCUGGGGGCUGGGGGGGAGGGAGAUCCAGAGAGAAUGAGAGAAAAGCUUUUUGCUUUCUUCUGCAAUGCAUUGGCACACCGCUUGCCAUAGGUUUCUUUUUCAGAUUGUCUGCCCCUGUGUCUUGGAAGGAAGGAAAGAAGGAGCUGGUGAUGGAUGGAUGGAUGGAUGGAAGGAAGGAAGGAAGGAAGGAAGGAAGGAAGGAAGGAAGGAAGGAAGGAAGGAAGGAAGGAAGGAAGGAAGGAAGGAAGGAAGGAAGGAAGGAAGGAAGGAAGGAAGGAAGGAAGGAAGGAAGGAAGGAAGGAAGGAAGGAAGGAAGGAAGGAAGGAAGGAAGGAAGGAAGGAAGGAAGGAAGGAAGGAAGGAAGGAAGGAAGGAAGGAAGGAAGGAAGGAAGGAAGGAAGGAAGGAAGGAAGGAAGGAAGGAAGGAAGGAAGGAAGGAAGGAAGGAAGGAAGGAAGGAAGGAAGGAAGGAAGGAAGGAAGGAAGGAAGGAAGGAAGGAAGGAAGGAAGGAAGGAAGGAAGGAAGGAAGGAAGGGGAUGGAUGGAUGGAUGGAUGGAUGGAAGACAAGCAUUGUUGUCUUUGCCCCAGAUGUGCCUGCCCAUGUUCAGAUUCCCAGCCUUGGUCUUUAUGAAAUAUGACCCAAGAAGACAAGGAAAGGGGGACAGCAAAAACAGGCAGGCUGUUACGUACCUGGGCUGGAAAUGGAUCAUACCUGUCUCCCACCCAGUCAGAACAAACACCAUCCACCCUUCAACAUUGCACAGUAACCCUAGACAUGCCUCCUUGGAAGUCAGUCCCGUAGGGUUCAAGGAUGAAUUUGUAGGUAAAGUGGAUGUUAGGAUUGCAUCUGGAAAGACUAUGAGAGGCAUGUGA
rnacentral:lncRNA from 1 species